AUUGAACGCUGGCGGCAUGCCUUACACAUGCAAGUCGAACGGUAACAGGUCUUCGGAUGCUGACGAGUGGCGCACGGGUGCGUAAUACAUCGGAACGUGCCCAGACGUGGGGGAUAACGAGGCGAAAGCUUUGCUAAUACCGCAUACGAUCUAAGGAUGAAAGCAGGGGACCGCAAGGCCUUGCGCGUUUGGAGCGGCCGAUGGCAGAUUAGGUAGUUGGUGGGAUAAAAGCUUACCAAGCCGACGAUCUGUAGCUGGUCUGAGAGGACGACCAGCCACACUGGGACUGAGACACGGCCCAGACUCCUACGGGAGGCAGCAGUGGGGAAUUUUGGACAAAGGGCGAAAGCCUGAUCCAGCAAUGCCGCGUGCAGGAUGAAGGCCUUCGGGUUGUAAACUGCUUUUGUACGGAACGAAAAGGCUCUGGCUAAUACCUGGGGCACAUGACGGUACCGUAAGAAUAAGCACCGGCUAACUACGUG
rnacentral:rRNA from 1 species